UACGGAGGGUGCCAGCGUUAUCCGGAAUUACUGGGUUUAAAGGGUGCGUAGGCGGUUGUGUAAGUCGUGGGUGAAAUUUUGCAGCUUAACUGUGAGAUGUCCUAUGAAACUGCACAACUUGAAUCAGAUAGAGGUUAGUGGAAUGCGGCAUGUAGCGGUGAAAUGCAUAGAUAUGCCGUGGAACACCGAUUGCGAAGGCAGCUAACUGGGUCUUGAUUGACGCUGAGUCACGAAAGCGUGGGGAGCAAACAGG
rnacentral:rRNA from 1 species